AUCCAGCUGACAAGUCCCAAAUAGGACGAAACAAACGCCCUGGAU
rnacentral:hammerhead_ribozyme from 1 species